UACGGGGGUGCGAGCGUUGUCCGGAAUCACUGGGCGUAAGGUGCGUAGGCGGUCUUUAAGUCAGGGUGAAUCCUGGAGCUCAACUCCAGAACUGCCUUGAUACUGAAGAUCUUGAGUUCGGAGAGGUGAGUGGAACUGCGAGUGUAGAGGUGAAAUUCGUAGAUAUUCGCAAGAACACCAGUGGCGAAGGCGGACUCACUGGCCCGAUACUGACGCUGAGGCACGAAAGCGUGGGAGCAAGCAGGGAUUAAG
rnacentral:rRNA from 1 species